rnacentral:tRNA from 1 species
GGCCCUGAGGUGACUUGACAUAUUGAAUUGCAAAUUCAAAGAAGCAGCUUCAAUUCUGCCGGGGCUU